GGAGAGAUGGCCGAGAGGCUGAAGGCACUCGCCUGCUAAGCGAGUGGCCGGGGUAAACCCGGCUCCCGGGUUCGAAUCCCGGUCUCUCCGCCA
rnacentral:tRNA from 1 species